UGGGGGAUUUUGGACAAUGGGCGAAAGCCUGAUCCAGCAAUGCCGCGUGUGUGAAGAAGGCCUUCGGGUUGUAAAGCACUUUUGUCCGGAAAGAAAUCCUUGGCUCUAAUACAGUCGGGGGAUGACGGUACCGGAAGAAUAAGCACCGGCUAACUACGUGCCAGCAGCCGCGGUAAUACGUAGGGUGCAAGCGUUAAUCGGAAUUACUGGGCGUAAAGCGUGCGCAGGCGGUUUGCUAAGACCGAUGUGAAAUCCCCGGGCUCAACCUGGGAACUGCAUUGGUGACUGGCAGGCUAGAGUAUGGCAGAGGGGGGUAGAAUUCCACGUGUAGCAGUGAAAUGCGUAGAGAUGUGGAGGAAUACCGAUGGCGAAGGCAGCCCCCUGGCCAAGUACUGACGCUCAUGCACGAAAGCGUGGGGAGCAAACAGGAUUAGAUACCCUGGUAGUCCACGCCCUAAAACGAUGUCAACUAGUUGUUGGGGAUUCAUUUCCUUAGUAACGUAGCUAACGCGUGAAGUUGACCGCCUGGGGAGUACGGUCGCAAGAUUAAAACUCAAAUGAAUUGACGGGGUCAUAGCUGUUUCCU
rnacentral:rRNA from 1 species